AGUAGUUGAUCAGUGGCUACAGGACGAACGCUGGCGGCACGCUUAACACAUGCAAGUCGAACGGAGUAAUUUUGGUUACUGAGAAUUCUUAGUGGCGGACGGGUGAGUAACACGUGAGCAACCUGCCUCUGAGAGAGGGAUAGCUUCUGGAAACGGAUGGUAAUACCUCAUAAUAUAAUUGAACCGCAUGAUUUGAUUAUCAAAGAUUUAUCACUCAGAGAUGGGCUCGCGUCUGAUUAGAUAGUUGGUGAGGUAACGGCUCACCAAGUCGACGAUCAGUAGCCGGACUGAGAGGUUGAACGGCCACAUUGGGACUGAGACACGGCCCAGACUCCUACGGGAGGCAGCAGUGGGGAAUAUUGCACAAUGGGGGAAACCCUGAUGCAGCGAUGCCGCGUGGAGGAAGAAGGUUUUCGGAUUGUAAACUCCUGUCUUAAAGGACGAUAAUGACGGUACUUUAGGAGGAAGCUCCGGCUAACUACGUGCCAGCCGCCGC
rnacentral:rRNA from 1 species